rnacentral:rRNA from 1 species
GAUGAACGCUGGCGGCGUGCCUAAUACAUGCAAGUCGAGCGAACGGACGAGAAGCUUGCUUCUCUGAUGUUAGCGGCGGACGGGUGAGUAACACGUGGAUAACCUACCUAUAAGACUGGGAUAACUUCGGGAAACCGGAGCUAAUACCGGAUAAUAUUUUGAACCGCAUGGUUCAAAAGUGAAAGACGGUCUUGCUGUCACUUAUAGAUGGAUCCGCGCUGCAUUAGCUAGUUGGUAAGGUAACGGCUUACCAAGGCAACGAUGCAUAGCCGACCUGAGAGGGUGAUCGGCCACACUGGAACUGAGACACGGUCCAGACUCCUACGGGAGGCAGCAGUAGGGAAUCUUCCGCAAUGGGCGAAAGCCUGACGGAGCAACGCCGCGUGAGUGAUGAAGGUCUUCGGAUCGUAAAACUCUGUUAUUAGGGAAGAACAUAUGUGUAAGUAACUGUGCACAUCUUGACGGUACCUAAUCAGAAAGCCACGGCUAACUACGUGCCAGCAGCCGCGGUAAUACGUAGGUGGCAAGCGUUAUCCGGAAUUAUUGGGCGUAAAGCGCGCGUAGGCGGUUUUUUAAGUCUGAUGUGAAAGCCCACGGCUCAACCGUGGAGGGUCAUUGGAAACUGGAAAACUUGAGUGCAGAAGAGGAAAGUGGAAUUCCAUGUGUAGCGGUGAAAUGCGCAGAGAUAUGGAGGAACACCAGUGGCGAAGGCGACUUUCUGGUCUGUAACUGACGCUGAUGUGCGAAAGCGUGGGGAUCAAACAGGAUUAGAUACCCUGGUAGUCCACGCCGUAAACGAUGAGUGCUAAGUGUUAGGGGGUUUCCGCCCCUUAGUGCUGCAGCUAACGCAUUAAGCACUCCGCCUGGGGAGUACGACCGCAAGGUUGAAACUCAAAGGAAUUGACGGGGACCCGCACAAGCGGUGGAGCAUGUGGUUUAAUUCGAAGCAACGCGAAGAACCUUACCAAAUCUUGACAUCCUUUGACAACUCUAGAGAUAGAGCCUUCCCCUUCGGGGGACAAAGUGACAGGUGGUGCAUGGUUGUCAUCAGCUCGUGUCGUGAGAUGUUGGGUUAAGUCCCGCAACGAGCGCAACCCUUAAGCUUAGUUGCCAUCAUUAAGUUGGGCACUCUAAGUUGACUGCCGGUGACAAACCGGAGGAGGGUGGGGAUGACGUCAAAUCAUCAUGCCCCUUAUGAUUUGGGCUACACACGUGCUACAAUGGACAAUACAAAGGGCAGCGAAACCGCGAGGUCAAGCAAAUCCCAUAAAGUUGUUCUCAGUUCGGAUUGUAGUCUGCAACUCGACUACAUGAAGCUGGAAUCGCUAGUAAUCGUAGAUCAGCAUGCUACGGUGAAUACGUUCCCGGGUCU